AGUGAACGCUGGCGGUAGGCCUAACACAUGCAAGUCGAACGGCGGCACAGUAAGAGCUUGCUCUUACGGGUGGCGAGUGGCGGACGGGUGAGGAAUACAUCGGAAUCUACUUUUUCGUGGGGGAUAACGUAGGGAAACUUACGCUAAUACCGCAUACGACCUACGGGUGAAAGCAGGGGAUCUUCGGACCUUGCGCGAUUGAAUGAGCCGAUGUCGGAUUAGCUAGUUGGCGGGGUAAAGGCCCACCAAGGCGACGAUCCGUAGCUGGUCUGAGAGGAUGAUCAGCCACACUGGAACUGAGCCACGGUCCAGACUCCUACGGGAGGCAGCAGUGGGGAAUAUUGGACAAUGGGCGCAAGCCUGAUCCAGCCAUACCGCGUGGGUGAAGAAGGCCUUCGGGUUGUAAAGCCCUUUUGUUGGGAAAGAAAAGCAGCAGGUUAAUACCCCGCUGUUCUGACGGUACCCAAAGAAUAAGCACCGGCUAACUUCGUG
rnacentral:rRNA from 1 species